rnacentral:rRNA from 1 species
GAUGAACGCUGGCGGCGUGCCUAAUACAUGCAAGUCGAGCGAACAGACGAGGAGCUUGCUCCUCUGACGUUAGCGGCGGACGGGUGAGUAACACGUGGAUAACCUACCUAUAAGACUGGGAUAACUUCGGGAAACCGGAGCUAAUACCGGAUAAUAUAUUGAACCGCAUGGUCAAUAGUUAAAGACGGUUUUGCUGUCACUUAUAGAUUGAUCCGCGCCGCAUUAGCUAGUUGGUAAGGUAACGGCUUACCAAGGCGACGAUGCGUAGCCGACCUGAGAGGGUGAUCGGCCACACUGGAACUGAGACACGGUCCAGACUCCUACGGGAGGCAGCAGUAGGGAAUCUUCCGCAAUGGGCGAAAGCCUGACGGAGCAACGCCGCGUGAGUGAUGAAGGUCUUCGGAUCGUAAAACUCUGUUAUUAGGGAAGAACAAAUGUGUAAGUAACUAUGCACGUCUUGACGGUACCUAAUCAGAAAGCCACGGCUAACUACGUG